rnacentral:lncRNA from 1 species
UACAAACUGCUCAAGUAACUAUCAAACGAUCAUGAAAUAAACUCAAGCAAAUUUAAAAAGAUAAAUGAAUAAUUAAUUGGAUCAAAAUAAAGCUAUUUAAUAAAAAUCAAUUAAAGUAUUCAAUUAAUUAAAUCAAGCAAGAUUAUUUAAUAUAAUUAAUCAUUCAAAUGCAACAACAAAUAAAAGAGAGGGAGAAAAAUAAACAAUCAAGCAAACAAAAUAAUCAAAAAAAAUAAUAAAGGAAAGAAAAC